rnacentral:rRNA from 1 species
AGCGAACGCUGGCGGCAGGCUUAACACAUGCAAGUCGAACGGGCUUCUUCGGAAGUCAGUGGCAGACGGGUGAGUAACACGUGGGAACGUGCCCUUCGGUUCGGAAUAACUCAGGGAAACUUGAGCUAAUACCGGAUACGCCCUUUUGGGGAAAGGUUUACUGCCGAAGGAUCGGCCCGCGUCUGAUUAGCUUGUUGGUGGGGUAACGGCCUACCAAGGCGACGAUCAGUAGCUGGUCUGAGAGGAUGAUCAGCCACACUGGGACUGAGACACGGCCCAGACUCCUACGGGAGGCAGCAGUGGGGAAUAUUGGACAAUGGGCGCAAGCCUGAUCCAGCCAUGCCGCGUGAGUGAUGAAGGCCUUAGGGUUGUAAAGCUCUUUUGUCCGGGACGAUAAUGACGGUACCGGAAGAAUAAGCCCCUGCUAACUUCGUG